rnacentral:rRNA from 1 species
AGUGAACGCUGGCGGUAGGCCUAACACAUGCAAGUCGAACGGCAGCACAGUAAGAGCUUGCUCUUACGGGUGGCGAGUGGCGGACGGGUGAGGAAUACAUCGGAAUCUACUUUUUCGUGGGGGAUAACGUAGGGAAACUUACGCUAAUACCGCAUACGACCUACGGGUGAAAGCAGUGGAUCUUCGGACCUUGCGCGAUUGAAUGAGCCGAUGUCGGAUUAGCUAGUUGGCGGGGUAAAGGCCCACCAAGGCGGCGAUCCGUAGCUGGUCUGAGAGGAUGAUCAGCCACACUGGAACUGAGACACGGUCCAGACUCCUACGGGAGGCAGCAGUGGGGAAUAUUGGACAAUGGGCGCAAGCCUGAUCCAGCCAGACCGCGUGGGUGAAGAAGGCCUUCGGGUUGUAAAGCCCUUUUGUUGGGAAAGAAAAGCAGCAGGUUAAUACCCCGCUGUUCUGACGGUACCCAAAGAAUAAGCACCGGCUAACUUCGUG